AUCUCUAGCUCACUUGGUUAGAGCAUGGAAAUGAUAAUGCCAAAGUUGCAGGUUCAAUCCCUGUGUGGGACA
rnacentral:tRNA from 1 species